GAUGAACGCUAGCUGCAGGCUUAACACAUGCAAGUCGAGCGGGGAAAAGUAGCUUGCUACUGGACCUAGCGGCGGACGGGUGAGUAAUGCUUAGGAAUCUGCCUAUUAGUGGGGGACAACAUCUCGAAAGGGAUGCUAAUACCGCAUACGUCCUACGGGAGAAAGCAGGGGACCUUCGGGCCUUGCGCUAAUAGAUGAGCCUAAGUCGGAUUAGCUAGUUGGUGGGGUAAAGGCCUACCAAGGCGACGAUCUGUAGCGGGUCUGAGAGGAUGAUCCGUCACACUGGGACUGAGACACGGCCCAGACUCCUACGGGAGGCAGCAGUGGGGAAUAUUGGACAAUGGGGGGAACCCUGAUCCAGCCAUGCCGCGUGUGUGAAGAAGGCCUUUUGGUUGUAAAGCACUUUAAGCGAGGAGGAGGCUACCGAGAUUAAUACUCUUGGAUAGUGGACGUUACUCGCAGAAUAAGCACCGGCUAACUCUGUGCCAGCCGCCGCAGUAA
rnacentral:rRNA from 1 species